rnacentral:lncRNA from 1 species
AUAAUGUACACAUGAUGUGUUGUUUGAGAUAAAAUCUUCCUAUAUAGGUCUGGCUGUCUGGGAAUUGUCUAUGUACAUCAAUUGGCCAUAAACUCACAGAGAUGCCUCCUGCUUCUAUCUCAAGAGUUCUGGGAUUAAACCAUUUUAAAAGAUUGUUGACAAAAAUUAUAUAUAUUCAUGAUAUUUAAAAUGACACUUUGAAAGUUAUAUAUUGUGAAAUGGUGAAAUCAGGCUAGUUAAGUCAAUAACCUCAUAUAUUUUGUGGUGAAACAUUUAAAAUUUUAGUGAUUUUUUCAAGUAUAUAAUAUUACUAUAGUUACUAUGUCACACAUUGGAUUAUUAUAUAUGAACAGUUGGUUUUCUUUAAAAAGUUAAUUAAUGUUUGGUGCUUAGGAUCGACCAAGGACCUAACUCAUGCUCUGUACCACUGAGCUAUUCCUCCCUCACAAUUGUGAACUUAGAUAAGUAUAAGACAACAGUGGACUAGGAGUGUAUCUCAGUGACUGAACACUUGUACAUUGAGGCCAUGAGUUUUGUUCUCAGAGUUUCAGAGAGUGGGGAUUGUGGGUAGACAAGAGAAAAUAUGGUAGUCAUUUUAUGGGUUGUAGAUUCAAAAGCAGCAUGAUUUCUGUGGUUAUAGUGGCACAGGCAAAGGCCAGCCUCUUUCAGGAUUAGCAUUCUCUCUUUUUAAAAGAAUUAUUUUUUAUUUUUUAAAUGGUUUUUUUCUGGUUUUCUGAGACAGGCUUCUCUGUGUAACAGCCCUAGCUGUCCUGGAAUUCACUUUGUAGAUCAGACAUGUCUCAACCUCACAGAGAUCAUCCUGCCAGUCUCCCCAUUCCUGGGAUAACAGUUGUAUGCUACAAUGUCCGGCUCUAUUUUUUAAUUUUUUUAAUUAGAAAAUUAUUUUACAUGUCAAUCCCAGGUCCCUCUCCCUCCCCUCCUCUCCUGCCCCCCCCAACAAACACCCUACCUAUCCCAUACCCUUUCUGCUCCCCAGGAGGUAAGGCCUUCCAUAGGGGUUCUUAAGUCUGUCAUAUUCUUUGGGAUGAGGCCUAGGCAGCCCCCUUGUGUCUAGGCUCAGGGAGUAUCCCUCCAUGUGGGAUGGGCUCCUAAAGUCCAUUCCUAUGGUAGUCAUAAGUAUUGAUUCCAAGGUCUCCUCACUGACACCCACAUUCAGGGGGUCUGGAUCAGUCCCAUGCUGGUUUCCCAGCUAUCCCUCUGGGAACCAAGAGUUUUCCCUUGUUCAGGUUAGCUGUUUCUGUGGGUUUCACCAGCCUGGUAUAGACCACUUUGCUCAUCAAUCCUCCUUCUCUGAAUCUGGAUUUCAGUUUAGUUCAAGGUUUAGCUGUGGGUGCCUGCUUCUACUCCCACCAGCUGCUGGCUGAAGUCUAUAUGAUGGCACAUGAAUUCGUCAUCAAUCUCAUUAUCAGGAGAGGGCAUUAAAGGUAGCCUCACCUCUGUUGCUUAGAUUGUUAGUUGGUGUCAUCUCUGUAGCUCUCCAGACAGUUCCCUAGUACCUGAUUUCUCUUUGCACUUAUAAUGUCUCACUCUAUUAUAUUAUCUCUUAUCUUGCUCUCUUCUGUUCUUCCCCCAACUCAAACUCCCUGUACCAUAAUGUCUUCCUCACCCCUUUUUUUCUUCCUUUCUCAUUCUCCUAGUUCCCCCUUCCUUCCCUCAUGCUCCCAAUUUGCUCAGCAGAUCUUGUCCCUUUCCAGGGGGCCAUGUAUGUCUCUCUUAGGGUCCUCCUUGUUUACCAGCUUCUCUGGCAGCCUGGGCUACAGGCUGGCAAUCCUUUACUCUAUGUCUAAAAUCCACAUAUGAAUAAGUACAUAUAAUGCCUGUCUUUUUGUGACUGGGUUACCUUGCUCAGAAUGGUUUCUUCUAGUUCCAUCCAUUAGCCUAUGAAUUUAAAGAUUUCAUUGCUAUUUUUCCCCACUGCAUAGUACUCCAUUGUGUAAAUGUUUCACAUUUUCUCUAUCUAUUUUUCAGUUGAGGGGCAUAUAGGUUGUUUCCAGGUUCUGGCUACUACAAAUAAGGCUGCUAUGAACAUAGUUGAAUACAUGUCCUCGUUGUAGAAAUGUGCUUCUUUUGGCUAUAUGCCUAAGAGAGGAAUUGCUGGAUCUUGUGGUAGACUGAUUGCUAUUUUUCCUGAGGAAUCGCCAUACAGAUUUCCAGAGUGGCUGUACGUGUUGGCACUCCCACUAGCAGUGGAGGAGUGUUCCCAUUUCUCCACAAACUCUCCAGCAUAAACUGUCAUUGGUGUUUUGAUUUUAGCCAUUAUGACAGGUGUAAGAUGGUAUCUCAGAGUUGUUUUGAUUUGUAUUUCCCUGAUGGCUAAGGAUUUUGAACACUUUCUUGUGUGUCUUUCAUCCAUUUUAGAUUUCUCUAUUGAGCAUUGUCUUAUUAAGUACUGUACCUCAGUUUUUAAACGUUUUAUUUAUUUAUUGUGUAUACAACAUUCUGCCUCCAAGUGUGCCUGCAGGCCAGAAGAGGGCACCAGAUCUAUUUACAGAUGGUUGUCAGCCAACAUGUGCUUGCUGGGAUUGAACUCAGGACCUCUGGAAGAGCAGGCAGUGCUCUUAACCUCUGAACCAUCUCUCUAGUUCCCCUGUACCCCACUUUUUAAUUGGAUUAUUUGAUGUUUUGGAGAUGAGCUUAAGUUAUUUGUAAAUUUUGGAGAUCAGCCCUAUGUCAGAUGUGCGGUUGGUGAAUAUCUUUUCCCAGUCUGUGGGCUGCCGUUUUGUCUUGUUGACAGUGACUUUUGCCUUAGAGAAGCUUCUCAGUUUCAGGAGGUCCCAUUUAUUAAUUGUGGAUCUCAGUGUCUGUGCUACUGGUAUUAUGUUCAGGAAUCUGUCUCCUGUACCAAUUUGUUCAAGGGUAUUUCCUACUUUUUCUUCUAAUAAGUUCAGUGUAGCUGUGGUCAUGUUGAGGACUUUGAGCCAUUUGGACUUAAGUUUUGUACAUGGAGAUAGACAAGGAUCAGUCUGCAGUCUUUUACAUGCCAGCAUCCAGUUAUGCCAGCACCAUUUAUUAAAGAUGCUUUCUUUAUUCCAUCGAAUAAAUUUAGCUUCUUUUAAAAAAUCUAUUGUUUGUAGGUGUGUGGGUUAAUAUUGGGCUUUUCAACUAUAUUCCAUUGGUCUACCUGUCUAUUAUUGUGCCAAUAACAAGCUGUUUUCAGGACUAUAGCUCUGUAAUAGAGGUUGAAGUCAGGGAUGGUGAUGCCUCUGGAAGUUCCUUUAUUGUACAGGGUUGUUUUGGCUAUCCUGGGUCUUUUGUUUAUCCAUAUGAAGUUAAGAAUUGCUCUUUCAAGUUCUGUGAAGGAUUGUGUUGGGAUUUUGAUGGGGAUUGUGUUGAAUCUCUAGAUUGCUUUUGGCAAGAUUCCCAUUUUUAGUGUGUUGAUCCUACCUAUCCAAGAACAUGGGAGAACUUUCCAUUUUUUGGUUUCUUCUUUAAUUUCUUUGUUUAGAGACAAAAAUUUCUUACAGUACAGAUCUUUCACUUUUUUGGUUAGCAUUACCUCAAGGAAUUUUAUAUUGUUUGUGGCAAUUGUAACUAUUUCUUCAUGAAUGGAUCCUCUGUAUACAGUAGUGCUACAGGUUUUUUUUGAGUUAAUCUUGUAUCCUGCCACGUUGCUGAAGGUGUUUAUCAGCUGUAGGAGUUCCCAGGUAGAGUUUUUCAGUUCACUUAUGUAGACUAUCAUAACAUCUGGAAACAGUGAAAGCUUGACUUCUUCCUUUCCAAUUUGUAUCUCCUUGAUCUUCUUUUGUUGUCUGAUUGCUCUAGCUAGAACUUCAAGGACAAUAUUGAAGAGAUAUGGAGAGAGUGGGCAGCUUUGUCUUGUUCCUGAUUUUGGAGGAAUAGCUUUGAGUUUCUCUCCAUUUAGUUUGAUGUUGGCUGUUGGCUUACUGUAUAUUGUUUUUAUUAUGUUCAGGUAUGUUCUUGUUAUUCCUGAUCUCUCCAGGUCAUAUAUCAUGAACAGACGUUGGUUUUGUCAAAGGCUUUUUUCAGAAUCUAGUGUGAUGAUCAUGUGGUAUUUCAUCUUCAGUUGCUUUAUAUGGUGGAUUACAUUGAUAGAUUUUUGAAUGUUGUACUAACCCUGCAUCCCAGGGAUGAAGCUUCCGUGAUCAUGGUGGAUGAUUUUUUUAAAUAUACUUGGAUUCGGUUUGCUAGUAUUUUAUUCAGUAUUUUUGCAUCUAUGUUCAUGGGGUAUAUUGUUCUGUAGUUCACUUUCUUAGUUGUGUCUUUGUGUGGCUUGGGUAACCAAGGUAAUUGUAGCCUUGUAAAAAGAGUUUGGCAAUGAACAUUCUGCUUCUAUUGUGUGAAACAAUUCAAAAAGUAUUGGUAUUAGCUCUUAUUUGAAUUUCUGGUGGAAUUCUACACUGAAGCCAUCUGUCCCUGGCCUUUUAUUGGUUGGGAGACAUUUGAUGACUUCUUCUGUUUAUUUAAAGGUUAUGGGCCUGUUUAAGUUGGCUAUCUCUUUUGAUUCAAUUUUGGGUAAGUGAUAUCUGUCCAAAAAAUUGUACAUUUCUUUUAAAUUUUUGAAUUUUGUGGAGUACAGGUUUUCAAACUAUGACCUCAAGAUUCUCUGGAUUUGCUUUAAAUUUUUGAAUUUUGUGGAGUACAGGUUUUCAAACUAUGACCUCAAGAUUCUCUGGAUUUGCUUUAAAUUUUUGAAUUUUGUGGAGUACAGGUUUUCAAGUAUGACCUCAAGAUUCUCUGGAUUUCCUAAGUGCCCUCCUUUUCAUAUCUGAUUUUGUUAAUUAGCAUGCUCUCUCUGUCUCUCUGACUUUUGGUUAGUUUGGAUAAAGUUUUGUCCAUCUUGCUGAUUUUUCUUGAAGAACCAACUCUUUGUUACAUUGAUUCUUUCAAUUUUUUUCGUUCUUUCAACUUUAUUGAUUUCUGCCCUCAAUUUGAUUAUUUCCUGUUGUCUACUCCUCCAGGGUGAAUUUGCUUCUAUUUGUUCCAUCUGUGAUGUCAUAUCUCUGGUGUGACUAUUCUCUAGUUUCUUCAUGUGAGCUCUUAGAAUUAUGGACUUUCCUCUUAGUACUGCUUUCAAAGUGUCCCAGAAGUUUGGGAAUGUUGUGUCUUCUUUUUCGUUGAAUUCAAGAAAGUCUUUAAUUUCUUUCUUUAUUUCUUCCUUGACUCAGGAAUGGUGCAAUUGCAUGUUGUUCAAUUUCCAUGAGUUUGUAGGUUUUCUGCAAUUUGUGUUGUUUUUGAUUUCUAACUUUAAGGCAUGGUGGUCUAAUAAGACACAGGCCAUUUUCCCAACUUUUUUGUACCUGUUGAGCUUUGCUAUGUUGCUGAGUAUGUGAUGCUGAAAAGAAGAAAUAUUCUUUUGUGUUUGGAUGGAAAGUUCUAUAGAUGUCUGUUAAUCCCAAUUGGGUCAUAGCUUCUGUUAGUUCCUUUGUCUCUUUGUUAAGUUUCUGUCUGGUAGUCCUGUCCAGUGGUGUGAGUGGGGUGUUGAAGUCUCCCAGUAUAACUGUGUGAGGUCCUGUUUGUGAUUUGAGUUUUAAUAAUGUUUCUUUUAUGAAUGUUGAUGCCUUUGUAUUUGGGGCAUAGAUGUUUAGAAUUGAGACUUCUUCCUGAUGGAAUUUUCCUGUGAUGAAUAUGAAAUGCCCUUCUUCAUCUCUUUUGAUUGAUUUUAGUUUGAAGUCUAACUUGCUAGAUAAUAGGGUAGCUAGCCAAGCUCAUUUCUUGGGUCCAUUUGAUUGGAAUAUCUUAUCCCAACACUUUCCUCUGAGGUAAUGUCUGUUUUGAAGUUGAUGUGUGUUUCUUGUAUGCAGCAGAAGGAAGGAUUCUGUCUCUGUAUCCACUCUGUAAGACUGUGUCUUUUGAUAGGCGAGUUAAGACCAUUAAUAUUGAGGAAAAUUAAGGACCAUUGAGUGCUUAUUCUUGUUUGUUUUUUAUUUGGUGUUGGUAGUGGUAUUGUAGGUGGAUUUACCCUGCUUUUUUGGGGGGGUUGAUAAAGUGGGAUUAUCUAUUGCCUAUGUUUUUUGUGUGUAGUAAAUUUCCUUAGGUUGUAGUUUUCCUUCCAAUACUUUCUGUAGGGCUGGAUUAGUGGUUAUACAUUGUUUAAAUAUGGUUUUGCCAUUGAAUGUCUUAUUUUCUCCAUUUAUAGUGACUGAAAUCUUUGCUGGGUAUAGUUUUCUGGGCUGGCAUCUGUAUUCUCUUAGAGUUGGUAGAAUAUCUAUCCAGGUCCUUCUGGCUUUCUGAGUUUCCAUUCAGAAGUCCCGUCUACUUUAUAUGUUACUUGGCCUUUUUCCUUUGCUGCUAUUAAUGUUCAUUGUUUAUUCUGUAUGUUUUGUGUUUUAUUAUGUGAUGAUGGGACUUUCUUUUGUGGGGCAAAUCUGGCUCUAUUAUUUUAGUGUUAUAAGUGCAUGUAAGUAUGAGCACUGUAUGUGUGGCUGGUUCCUGAUGAAGCCAGAAGAGGGCGCCAGAUUAUUUGGAACUGGACUUGCACAGAUGGUUGUAAGCCUUAUGUGUUCAAGGUGUGUUGAACCCUUUUCCUCAAGAAGAAUAGCAGGUGCUCUUAGCUGCUGAGUCAGGUCUCUAGCCCAGUAAUUGGGAAUCUCUUAAUGAACCCUUUUUCAAAUAACUAGUAUACCUUUGCUUUUCUGUCAGUGUAUCCUGUCAUUCUCAGAUUACAGUAGGGUGGUGAGUUUCCCAGAGAGACAGUGCUUACUAAAAUAUUUGCCCUGUAGGAAAGAGGAGCCCGCAUUUUAUCAUCUUCAGAAAACAGGUGAGAGACACCUAUUAGAAUUUUUGUGAUUAUUAUUUAUUAUAGCAAAGUACUCCGUGAAAUAUUUGAUAUGGAUGGAGUGAGCAAAUGAUUUGCUGAUUUACUUAGUAAAUUAAAUUUAUCACAUGGGUGUUAGAGUGCAUACCUAUAAUCCCAGAACUCAGAUAGCUGGGCCAGAAAGAUAAAGAGUUUGAGGCUCUCUUAGCAUACACAUUAAGAUCCUGUCUAUAAAAGUAAAUUAAAGGUUUCAAAAUUUCUGAUUCCUAGGCAUCUCUUAGGAAAAUUACCUCACAGAUGAGUACCCAGAAUCUAUGUUUUUAGAAAAAGAUUUUUAAAAGUGUGUGUGGAGGGGGGGGAGGUGUUGCCUUAGAGGCCAGAACAGCAUUCCAUUAGAUCCUGAGUUACAUGUAGUUUGGAGCCACUCAAUGUGGGUGCUGGCGGCUUUGGAAAACCAGGAAGUGCUCUUAACCAUUGAACCAUCCCCCCAGCCUUGAGAAACUGUAUGGUUAAAGAAUGUUUUCAGGUGAGGUAUUCUUAUAUAAUAGAUAUAGUAGUGUCCAAUGACAGGUUUGAUAGUCACAAUGUUUAGGGUAGUUAUCAAAAAAUGUUAAAUAACACCAAAUAUACACAGAAAAGAAUCAACAAAUAUAUUGAAAGAUUUUAUAAAUGUAUCAGGAUAUAUUUUACUUACUUAAAAAUCCUUUUUAUGAAACUGACACCUUAAUUUUUUCCUCCUCAUAACAAUGAACAGUAAACUUUGCCUCAUGGAUCCCCAUGUAUAUUUCCAAGCAGGAAUCUGUGAAAAAUCUGUGAAAAUUUGAGGUACAGUGACAUAGUACUGACUCCAUCCACCUCCAGAAACUUACUUGAAGUAGGAAUAUCUUACGUGAUGCUGUUACUUCCCAAGGUGGCACUGUGAAAAAGAAUUUCUCUGUUAUGCAACUAGCUAUAGUGUACUGUAGGGAAUGCUGCAUGUUUGGUUGUGAUAAAUGGAGGACUUGUUGUUCUUGGGUUUUCUUUUGUGCCCUCAUAGUCAUCCAGAGGCUUUCAUCUCAUCCAAGCUGUUAUUCUCUAUUCCAGGCUUGCAGCUAGAAUCAAGGCUGGGAAUUCUGAAGGACUGGGGAUGGUGUGAGUUCAUGAUCUCUGCCCAUAGACAGGUGUUGUCCUCAUCUGGGCAUCCUGGGUGCAGGAUUUGUAGAGUACUUCCCUGCAGCACAAGGAUUAUCUGGCCAGAAGUGUCCAUCCAUUUUCAGCACUGAAAAAGAUUGGCAGAAGAAGGCAGGGUCUGUGGGUGAAAGACCUGCACGGCUUCCAGCAUGUGCAUGCCGAGGCUUGGAGCAGGAGGCAAUGUCAUGAAUUGUGAAGCACUUUAGAUGGGAGCAGUCAAUGAUCUGUCCCCAAAGACAGGUGGUGUCUUCACCUACACAUCCUGUGUGCAGGCAUUGCAGAGCUCUGGACUCUGCAGCUGACAGAUUGUCUGGCCUGGAGGUGUCAAUCCCAGGGAUGUCUCCAUUUCCACUACUUAAAAAGAGUGAAGGAAGAAGACAGUGUCUGGUGAGUGAGAUGCUCCUCUCCUUUGAGUGCCCCUACAGCAUUGGGGCAGGGUUUCCUAUAGCUCUGCUUGAGUAGCAAGUGCAUCACCUUUGUUUGGAGACUCAUAGUACUCUUCAGUGUUUUGUGGUGACCAUGUAAUGUUGUGUCCUCUCAGAUGUUUGUGUGUUCCUUUGUGUUUGUGUGGUGUGUGCAUGCAUAGUGAUCACUGGUAGGUUACAGAAUUCCCUUGGCCUGUGGUCUUCCCUCACCCUCCCCUUUGUCUUUGAAAUAGUGCCUCUCCUUUCUUUGGAAGUUUGCUCUUAGGCAGGUCAUCGUGUCUAAAGGUUCCAAAACUUACAUGUGUCUUUAUCUUGUUUCAGUCUCUGUCAUUACUACUAUGUCCCCAGAAAGCUUGGUUUUUAUAGGUGGUUAGGUUACUGCACCCAAUUCCCCACUCCUGACAGCCCACCAGUUGUAGAACCCUGACUUUUAUCCAGCCCCACUUUUCAGAGACUUCUAUAAGUGGCAUGACAAUUAGUUUAAGGAGGUGAAAUCUUUGGGCUGGAGGGUUACUUUCUCCCAUCAUUGAGACAGAAUGAUUGGGAUGGGGAGCCAGAGGCAAAGCUAUCCUCUUGGGACUCCCAUUCUUCCUCUGUGUGGGUAUUAAGAUCUAAAAUAUUAUCCCACAUGGCUAUCAUGGACCUGGAGGAGAGGGUGGCAUUCUGGUCCAUGACAGUUACAGUGAAGUCUUUCCUGUCAGUGCUUUCUGUGAGAUCCCAUGGGAGAGCACUUGGAUAAGAGAGUGCUAAGGUAGAGAUCUGGUUCUGGCCAGUCAGUGCACUCAGCUUGUUCAUGCCAGCUCAUUGAUAAAGGUAGGCACUGUCCAUGAGCUGCUGGUCACAAGUGCUGGGAUCUGAUGGCAGGAGCCAUGCAGAACUCACAGCUGGUGUGGAGACCCUGGAGAAGUUGCACACACUUCCUGCUGAAGGUGUGGAAUUCCUCAGCACAGGCACAGAAGGCCUCAGAGCACAUUCUGUCCCAAAGAAUGGUGUGCUUUGGAAAUUUGGAAAUUAACUGUAGAAAGCAAGAGAACACUGAGAAAAUUGUGAGAUGGAAAUUUUGUAGCUUCCUGUGAAGAUCUGUGUUAUGGCCAGGUUGUCCUGUCUGGGUUUGUCUGUAACCCAUGUUCC